AUUGAACGCUGGCGGCAGGCCUAACACAUGCAAGUCGAGCGGAUGAAGGGAGCUUGCUCCUGGAUUCAGCGUCGGACGGGUGAGUAAUGCCUAUGAAUCUGCCUGGUAGUGGGGGAUAACGUCCGGAAACGGGCGCUAAUACUGCAUACGUCCUGAGGGAGAAAGUGGGGGAUCUUCGGACCUCACGCUAUCAGAUGAGCCUAGGUCGGAUUAGCUAGUUGGUGGGGUAAGGGCCUACCAAGGCGAGGAUCCGUAACUGGUCUGAGAGGAUGAUCAGUCACACUAGAACUGAGACGCGGUCCAUGCUACUGCGGGAGGCAGCAGUGGGGAAUAUUGGGCAGUGGGCGAAAGCCUGAUCCAGCCAUGCCGCGUGUGUGAAGAAGAUCUUCGGAUUGUAAAGCACUUUAAGUUGGGAGGAAGGGCAGUAAGUUAAUACCUUGCUGGUUUGACGUUAACAACAGAAUAAGCACCGGCUAACUUCGUG
rnacentral:rRNA from 1 species